AUCCUUUUUGAAAAGGAGGGGAACAAUUAUAACGGUUCAAAUCUUUUUUAAAGGAAAAGCAAAAGGAAAAAAUCAAAAAGAAGGAAAAGCAAUCCUGACUUUCUAGAUUACAUCAUCACGCUAAAAGAUAUUCAGUUUGUGAAAUUUAACCUUGAUUUCCUAGUGAAAUCAAAGGAGACUUGGGGCAGAUUUUUUUGGUAGCAACAACAACAAUAUCCGUUGCGAAUUUAAGAUAUGGCUGAAUGGGAACAUGCUCAAAUUGCUCUAAAUGGGAGUGAUAUAGAUAGAGGAGCAAAAAGAAAUAGCAGAAGAAUGUGUCGCAAGAGGAUCAAAACUCUAGUUGAUUCAGAUUCAGAGCCUGAAGUCAUUAGAAAUGAUUCAAGGAUGAAGCAGAAUCUGAACAAAGAAAUAAGGACUCAGGAUCCACCAACCACGUGAGUCGAGAUCGAGAAACGUUUGUGGAGUUUCGUCGAGUUUCACCUGGAUCAAGGUGGAUUUAUGUAGGAAAUAAUGCUAGACUUGAAGUCAAAGGAAUAAGCACUUGCAAAGUACACUUGCGUGGUGGCCGAUCUUUGAUGUUGCAUGACAUCCUAUAUGCUCCAAAGAUUCGACAAAAUUUAGUAUUUGUUUCUAUUCUAUUGGAUGUUGGUUUUGAUUUGUUUUUUAGUUGCAAUGGUUUAAGAAUAUCUCUAGCUAAUGUUUUAUAUGGUUUUGGACUUCGUUAUGAUCAUUUUUUCGUUUUAGAUUGUAAUCUUUCAACUUAUGACUAUUAAGUUGAUCGUUGUGUAAUGGCAUGUUAUUACAUGGCAUGCAAGAUUAGGUCACAUAGGGCAAGAUCGAAUGAAUAGGUUGGCAAAGGAAGGGCAUUUAGGUUCUUUCUCCAAAAUUGACAUGCCAACUUGUGAAAAUUGUCUUGUUGGAAAGAUUACGCGUAAACCA